rnacentral:rRNA from 1 species
GACGAACGCUGGCGGCGUGCCUAACACAUGCAAGUGGAGCGACGAACCGGGCUUUGGCCCGGGGCCAAGCCGCGAACGGGUGAGUAACACGUGGGUAACCUGCCCUGAUGAUUGGGACAACCCGAGGAAACUCGGGCUAAUACCGAAUGUGCCCUCCGACCAUAAGGUCUGCGGGGAAAGGAAGCUUCGGCCUCCGCAUCGGGAUGGGCCCGCGGCGCAUUAGCUUGUUGGUGAGGUAACGGCUCACCAAGGCGACGAUGCGUAGCUGGUCUGAGAGGACGAUCAGCCACACUGGGACUGAGACACGGCCCAGACUCCUACGGGAGGCAGCAGUGGGGAAUCUUGCGCAAUGCGCGAAAGCGUGACGCAGCAACGCCGCGU